rnacentral:rRNA from 1 species
CACCGCGGUUAUACGAGAGACCCAAGUUGAUAAAUUUCGGCGUAAAGAGUGGUUAGAAUAGACAGCACCUAAGACCGAAUACUUUUAGUACUGUUAUACGUAUUCAAGAGUUAGAAGCCCAACUACGAAAGUGGUCUUAACCAAAUUUGAACCCACGAAAGCUAUGAAA